rnacentral:lncRNA from 1 species
CGUGGUUGGGGGCGUGGAGGGGCAGGGGAAAUGACACAACAAAGGCCCAAGUUUCCCAAACCACAAAACUUUUUUCUGCCUCGCUACCUCCUCUAUGUCCCGUCCCUAAACAAAUACUAGAAGACGAGGAAAAGGAGCCUUGGGUCUGGGAGCAACAACCAGAGGGAGAGAAAAAAGUUCGAAAUGAAAGGAAGGCUCACAGGGGGAUAAUUGUAGGGUGCACUGCAUACGAGAAAAGCUGCGAAAGAGGAAAGGAAGAGAAUUCAGGAGAGUGGGAGAAAGCCUUAAGGACAGACUAGUAACUUUUGCUUGCUGUUUUAGGUCACUGAUUUUACAAGUGCGAACAGUUCGAUUGUAGAUGGAGUUCAGUUUUCUCACUUAAUACUCUGUAAUUUUCAUUUCUACUUUGGAUUGAUCCCAGUUUCUUGUUAACAUUUUAAAGCUUCUUUCAGGAAUAUUGCAGGUUUUCGCUGGCUGACAGUUUUAGUUUCCAUUUCCCAAGUCAUCACACUUUCACAGGCCCCCAAAAGCACCCCCCUGUCCCCACUAGCCCUGGACUGGCAAACCGAAAGGGCACGCUAAGCCUCCAAUUUUACUACGUAUUGCGGGGGCUCCAUAUUUCGGUUUUGGAGUCUUUAAACGAACUCAACUUUUAACUAUUUGAUCUUAACAGUAAUUGAUGUUAUGUGAAUAAGCGGACAGUCUUGCUACACCUCAGUUUUGUUGAAAUAGCAUAAAAUUUUGAGAUAAAUAUGUCCCCCUAGCAAGUGAGCUAUUGAACCAGACUCCAUUCUCUCUUCUGUCCUUUCUGUGCCGUGAUGCUUCGUGAGACACAAGCUUUUAGUCUGGCUGCUGUUUAUCUUCUAUGCUUGGCACUGGGAAAAACCAAUAGACCUAGUGGCGGGAGACAUCGCAAGGGCUGAAAAUUCGUCGUUCAGAAAAUGUUACCCUUGUGGAAAAUGUCUACAGAGGCAGCUGAUGCAUCCCCAGGGAGGAACAUCAAAAGUUGCACAAAGUUUCCACUACCUUUGAAAGUGAUACCACUGAAAACCGGAGAAGUUAAGCAAUUUAAUCAAGUUCACAGAGUUAAGUUCCUGAACUCAUGAGCAAGAAAUGUCAGAUGAUCUUUCAUGUCGUUAAAUUGAAUUGAAUCUGAUCCCAAGCCUCUUCUUGCCAGCUGAUUUGCCUUCUUCCUCUUUUUGACUCUGGUAGGCUGGCUGAAAACGUGCGGAACCGAAAGUGAAGAGGGUAGAAGAGGAGCCACUUGUAAGGAAUAUGGGCUCCUGUAGUUCCGUGUUUGGGAAAUACAAGUAUAAACAUUAAGAAAUGCUUCAACUUCAAUACAAAGUGCGGAAUUUUGGCCUUUGGAAUAUAAGGCCGUUUCUUGGAGGCCACUGAAGUGCAAUGGUCUUUAGUUAUUCACUGGCUGGAAGGAGGAGAUUUGCACACACACUAGAGAGUGCACAGAGGAAAGACCGAGAAGGUGGAUAUCCACAAGCAGAGGAGAGAGGCCUCAGAAGAAACCAGCCCCGAUUGGCACCUUGAUCUUGGACUUCUCCCUUGCAGAUCUAUGAGAAAAUAAACGUCUCCUGC